CGCGUAGGUGGCCUCAUAAGUCCGUUGUGAAAGUCAAAGGCUCAACCUUUGAAAGCCGGUGGAUACUGUGGGGCUAGAGUACGGAAGAGGCGAGUGGAAUUCCUGGUGUAGCGGUGGAAUGCGCAGAUAUCAGGAGGAACACCAAUAGCGAAGGCAGCUCGCUGGGACGUUACUGACACUGAGGCGCGAAAGCGUGGGGAGCGAGCA
rnacentral:rRNA from 1 species